AUUGAACGCUGGCGGCAUGCCUUACACAUGCAAGUCGAACGGUAACGGGCCUUCGGGUGCCGACGAGUGGCGAACGGGUGAGUAAUACAUCGGAACGUGCACGAUCGUGGGGGAUAACGAGGCGAAAGCUUUGCUAAUACCGCAUACGAUCUACGGAUGAAAGCAGGGGACCGCAAGGCCUUGCGCGGACGGAGCGGCCGAUGGCAGAUUAGGUAGUUGGUGGGAUAAAAGCUUACCAAGCCGACGAUCUGUAGCUGGUCUGAGAGGAUGAUCAGCCACACUGGGACUGAGACACGGCCCAGACUCCUACGGGAGGCAGCAGUGGGGAAUUUUGGACAAUGGGCGCAAGCCUGAUCCAGCCAUGCCGCGUGCAGGAUGAAGGCCUUCGGGUUGUAAACUGCUUUUGUACGGAACGAAAGGCAUUCUUUUAAUACAGGAGGGUCAUGACGGUACCGUAAGAAUAAGCACCGGCUAACUACGUG
rnacentral:rRNA from 1 species